UACAGAGGUCUCAAGCGUUUGUUCGGAUUCAUUGGGCGUAAAGGGUGCGUAGGCGGCGCGGUAAGUCGGGUGUGAAAUCUCGGGGCUUAACUCCGAAACUGCAUUCGAUACUGCCGUGCUUGAGGACUGGAGAGGAGACUGGAAUUUACGGUGUAGCGGUGAAAUGCGUAGAUAUCGUAAGGAAGACCAGUGGCGAAGGCGGGUCUCUGGACAGUUCCUGACGCUGAGGCAACGAAG
rnacentral:rRNA from 1 species